rnacentral:rRNA from 1 species
UAAUACGAAGGGGGCUAGCGUUGCUCGGAUUGACUGGGCGUAAAGGGCGCGUAGGCGGUUCGUACAGUCAGACGUGAAAUUCCUGGGCUCAACCUGGGGGCUGCGUUUGAUACGUGCGGACUUGAGUGCGGAAGAGGGUCGUGGAAUUCCCAGUGUAGAGGUGAAAUUCGUAGAUAUUGGGAAGAACACCGGUGGCGAAGGCGGCGACCUGGUCCGAUACUGACGCUGAGGCGCGAAAGCGUGGGGAGCAAACAGGAUUAGAUACCCUGGUAGUCCACGCCGUAAACGAUGUGCGCUGGAUGUUGGGUGACAUAGUCACUCAGUGUCGUAGCAAACGCGAUAAGCGCACCGCCUGGGGAGUACGGCCGCAAGGUU